GAUAGCGUGGCCGAGCGGUCUAAGGCGUUUUAAGGCUCCAGUCUCUUCGGAGGCGUGGGUUCGAAUCCCACCGCUGUCA
rnacentral:tRNA from 1 species